rnacentral:rRNA from 1 species
AGUCUAUUCAGAGGAACCUGUCCUAUAAUCGAUAAUCCACGAUUUUAUUUACUUAUUUUUUUAGUUUGCAUAUCGCCGUAGGUUGAAUAUUUUGUAAGAAUUUAUUUAAUAUUCAUAAUUCUCUUAGGAAGGAAUUCAGGUCAAGGUGUAGCUUAUAAAUAAGAAGAGAUGGGUUACAAUAAUUUUAGUUAAAUAUGAAUAAAGUUUUGUAAUAAAUUUUUAAAGGUGGAUUUGAAGGUAAUUUUAAAAAAAUUUUUAAAGUGAUUUUAGCUCUAAAAUAUGUACAUAUCGCCCGUCACUUUCACCCCAAGGUGGAAUAAGUCGUAACAAAGUAGGUGUACUGGAAAGUGUCCCUGGAAGAUAC